GACGAACGCUGGCGGCGCGCCUAACACAUGCAAGUCGAACGAGCGAGAGAGAGCUUGCUUUCUCGAGCGAGUGGCGAACGGGUGAGUAACGCGUGAGGAACCUGCCUUUCAGAGGGGGAUAACAUUUGGAAACAGAUGCUAAUACCGCAUAAGAUUACAGUACCGCAUGAUACAGUGAUCAAAGGAGCAAUCCGCUGAAAGAUGGGCUCGCGUCCGAUUAGAUAGUUGGUGAGGUAACGGCUCACCAAGUCGACGAUCGGUAGCCGGACUGAGAGGUUGAACGGCCACAUUGGGACUGAGACACGGCCCAGACUCCUACGGGAGGCAGCAGUGGGAUAUUGCACAAUGGGCGAAAGCCUGAUGCAGCAACGCCGCGUGAGGGAAGACGGUUUUCGGAUUGUAAACCUCUGUUUUCGGUGACGAACAAAUGACGGUAACCGAGUAGGAAGCCACGGCUAACUACGUGCCAGCAGCCGCGG
rnacentral:rRNA from 1 species